UGGCGGCGUGCCUAACACAUGCAAGUCGAGCGAGGAGAUCCUUCGGGAUGAUCCUAGCGGCGGACGGGUGAGUAACACGUGGGCAACCUGCCUCAUAGAGAGGAAUAGCCUUCCGAAAGGGAGAUUAAUACCUCAUAACAUUGCAGUUUCGCAUGGAACAGCAAUUAAAGGAGCAAUCCACUAUGGGAUGGGCCCGCGGCGCAUUAGCUAGUUGGUGAGGUAACGGCUCACCAAGGCGACGAUGCGUAGCCGACCUGAGAGGGUGAUCGGCCACAUUGGGACUGAGACACGGCCCAGACUCCUACGGGAGGCAGCAGUGGGGAAUAUUGCACAAUGGGGGAAACCCUGAUGCAGCCAACGCCGCGUGAGUGAUGACGGCCUUCGGGUUGUAAAGCUCUGUCUUCAGGGACGAUAAUGACGGUACCUGAGGAGGAAGCCACGGCUAACUACGUGCCAGCAGCUGC
rnacentral:rRNA from 1 species